CAGGGAGCCACUGGAGAGGAGCUAAAGAGCUGCAUGUGGCUCCGGAGCCGCAGGUUACUGACCCCUGGGUUGACACAAGCUGUGUUUCGUAUGUACAGGCCUGCACACAGAGUUCAAGUAUUGACCACAAAAGGACAAGUUCGGCCUUUGAAAGAGUCUUGAGAGUGAUGGCAAGGGGUCAGCUGCGGGGGAAGGCUUUUUGUCCAAGUUACAGUAUUCGGAGAGAUUGUGAGUUGCUUUGUUAAAUGAAGGAACACAUUGUGUGGUGUAAUAUGGUUGAUGUCAAGGUGAAGGUAGCCGUUUUGAGUAAUUAAUUGAGGUCUGAGACUCUGUGGUUCUUAUCCAGAGACUCAGAUUUUUUUAUCCUCAAACAUAUUUCAUAAUUUAAUUCUUGUCCUGAACUUUAGCCAGACUCCUUUCACUGCCAUACCUUCAUUAAAGCAAUCUUAUUUUUUCCUUCUCUCACCUAAAUCCAGAUAUCAAUUUAAACAAAGGAUUGUAGCUCUAAUUGGGAGAACAGUGAUUGUGAAGGCUUCUAAACUGUGGAAAUCUUACAAUUCCACUGCAUAUAUUUCGGCACAUCCGCUUUCAUAAGAGCACACCGAAAUGCCUGCUGGAGUCGAUCAAGAGGUGAGAAAACCUGUAUGAGGCUAAAGGGUCUGCAUUGCAGUGUCUCACAAGUUGAAGGCUGCAAACUUCCAUUUGGGUUGUUGAUUCUCAGUGGAAUAAGCAGUAGCAGCAGCAGCUCUUUCCGUCAUGUGAUUCUGUGUUCAGGGAUGCAUUUCAUGUUUAUCUUUAAUGCAG